UCCAUUUCGCGCAUUUCCUCAAUCAAACUUUCACCUAAAGAGGAACAACAACUAUUCCAACUUCUCCCUUAAAGCACAAACCCUAAACUUUACUGGUUCCUUCUUUGAAGGUGGAUUGGGUUCUGAUGAUGAUGAUGAUGAUGAUGACGACGACGAUGAUGAUGUUGUUAUUCCAGGGUUUGCUGAUCUUGAAGAAAGAGAAGAACCCGAAUGCCCGCCCGGACUCAGACCGUACGAAACCAUGGUGGUUCUGAGGCCUGACAUGUCUGAGGAUGAACGUCUUGCAUUCACCCAGAAAU
rnacentral:lncRNA from 1 species